UACGGAGGGUGCGAGCGUUGUCCGGAAUCACUGGGCGUAAAGGGCGCGUAGGUGGCGCGGGCAGUCAACGGUGAAAGUUCGGGGCUCAACCCUGAAUCGGCCGUCGAUACUCCCGUGCUUGAGCACUGUAGAGGCAGAUGGAAUUCCGGGUGUAGCGGUGGAAUGCGUAGAGAUCCGGAAGAACACCGGUGGCGAAGGCGGUCUGCUGGGCAGUAGCUGACACUGAGGCGCGACAGCGUGGGGAGCAACAGG
rnacentral:rRNA from 1 species